GUUACUUUUCCAAAGGUAAAAUAAAAAAUUUAAAAAUGUUUUAUGUUCAACGUUCAGUACUUAAAGGAGAUCCUGAGUUUUAGCUAGAAAUGUUUUCAGUUUUAUGUAAGUUAUAAUCAGAAAGAUUAAAAAUGUACAGUGAAAUUGUGUUUUAAUUCAGUUCAUACUCUUGGUGACAGUUUGUUUUUGUGGACUAUUUAGGAUACUAAAAUUGAAAUAGAUAGGCUUCCGGCCAAGUGCAGCAGCUCAUGCCCACAAUCUCAGCACUUUGGGAAGUCUAGGUGGGAGGAUUGCUUGAGACCAACCUGGGCAACAUAACAAGACCCUGUCUCUACAAGAAAAUAAAAAUAAAUCUAGCUGGGUUCAGUGUUGUGUGUAGCCUCAGCUACUUGGGAGGCUAAGAUGGGAGGAUUGCUUGAGCCCAGGAGGUCGAAGCUGCAGUGAGCCUUGCUCACACUCUGGGUGACAAAGCGAGACCCUGGCUCAAAAAAAAG
rnacentral:lncRNA from 10 species